UGGGGAAUAUUGCACAAUGGGCGCAAGCCUGAUGCAGCCAUGCCGCGUGUGUGAAGAAGGCCUUCGGGUUGUAAAGCACUUUCAGCGGGGAGGAAGGCGAUAAGGUUAAUAACCUUGUCGAUUGACGUUACCCGCAGAAGAAGCACCGGCUAACUCCGCGCCAGCAGCAGCUGUAAUACGGAGGGUGCAAGCGUUAAUCGGAAUUACUGGGCGUAAAGCGCACGCAGGCGGUUUGUUAAGUCAGAUGUGAAAUCCCCGGGCUCAACCUAGGAACUGCAUCUGUUACUGGCAAGAUUGAGUCUCGUAGAGGGGGGUAGAAUUCCAGGUGUAGCGGUGAAAUGCGUAGAGAUCUGGUGGAAUACCGGUAGCGAAGGCGGCCCCCUGGACGAAGACUGACGCUCAGGUGCGAAAGCGUGGGGAGCAAACAGG
rnacentral:rRNA from 1 species